rnacentral:misc_RNA from 1 species
GAUGAAGAACGUAGCGAAAUGCGAUAAGUAAUGUGAAUUGCAGAAUUCAGUGAAUCAUCGAAUCUUUGAACGCACAUUGCGCCCGCCAGUAUUCUGGCGGGCAUGCCUGUCCGAGCGUCAUUUCAACCCUCGAACCCCUCCGGGGGGUCGGCGUUGGGGAUCGGCCCUGCCUUUGGCGGUGGCCGUCUCCGAAAUACAGUGGCGGUCUCGCCGCAGCCUCUCCUGCGCAGUAGUUUGCACACUCGCAUCGGGAGCGCGGCGCGACCACAGCCGUUAAACACCCAACUUCUGAAAUGUUGACCUCGGAUCAGGUAGGAAUACCCGCUGAACUUAAGCAUAUCAAUAAGCGGAGGA